rnacentral:pre_miRNA from 1 species
UCUUACGGAUGAACAAAGAAACUGGUCUCUUGAAAUAGAAUCUACUCCUGGUGAAGAUGCUGUGAA